rnacentral:rRNA from 1 species
UACAGAGGGUGCGAGCGUUGUUCGGAAUUAUUGGGCGUAAAGGGCGCGUAGGCGGUGCGGUAAGUCACCUGUGAAAUCUCCGGGCUCAACUGGGAGCUUGCAGGCGAAACUGCCGUGCUGGAGUGUGGGAGAGGUGCGUGGAAUUCCUGGUGUAGCGGUGAAAUGCGCAGAUAUCGGGAGGAACACCGGUGGCGAAGGCGGCGCCCUGGACCACAACUGACACUGAUGAGCGAAAGCCAGGGGAGCAAACGGG